AUUGAACGCUGGCGGCAUGCCUUACACAUGCAAGUCGAACGGCAGCACGGGAGCAAUCCUGGUGGCGAGUGGCGAACGGGUGAGUAAAGCAUCGGAACGUGCCCAGUCGUGGGGGAUAACGUAGCGAAAGCUACGCUAAUACCGCAUACGAUCUGUGGAUGAAGGCGGGGGACCGUAAGGCCUCGCGCGAUUGGAGCGGCCGAUGUCAGAUUAGGUAGUUGGUGGGGUAAAGGCUCACCAAGCCGACGAUCUGUAGCUGGUCUGAGAGGACGACCAGCCACACUGGGACUGAGACACGGCCCAGACUCCUACGGGAGGCAGCAGUGGGGAAUUUUGGACAAUGGGCGCAAGCCUGAUCCAGCAAUGCCGCGUGCAGGAUGAAGGCCUUCGGGUUGUAAACUGCUUUUGUACGGAGCGAAACGGCUUCCACUAAUACUGGGGGCUAAUGACGGUACCGUAAGAAUGAGCACCGGCUAACUACGUGCCAGCCGCCGCCGUAA
rnacentral:rRNA from 1 species